rnacentral:lncRNA from 1 species
UUAUUUGCUUUGUAUUGGGAGAGGGUACUAAGAAGUUGAAUCAUGAUGUUGUUCAUAGUAAAUUUAAUCUGUUCUACAUUUGAUAUCUUAUCCAUGAACAACAGAAGGCAUUAGAAGGCAAGCAAUAUUUCACAAUUAAAAAUCUCAAACAAAAUUCAUUGGACAGCUAUCAACACACACAUUAUUCCGAAUAAACAAGAAAGGAUAUAUGUCACAUUGAGUUUCCUUUGCUUCUAUUCUCAAUAAUAAACACCGACACCAGAAGGUGUGAUUAUUUUUCUCAACGAUGACCUUGUAAAGGUUUUUAGCUCAGAAACAAAAUCAUCAUCAACCAAACUACAGUUCUUU